AUUGAACGCUAGCGGGAUGCUUUACACAUGCAAGUCGAACGGCAGCGCGGACUUCGGUCUGGCGGCGAGUGGCGAACGGGUGAGUAAUGUAUCGGAACGUGCCCAGUAGCGGGGGAUAACUACGCGAAAGCGUAGCUAAUACCGCAUACGCCCUACGGGGGAAAGCAGGGGAUCGUAAGACCUUGCACUAUUGGAGCGGCCGAUAUCGGAUUAGCUAGUUGGUGAGGUAACGGCUCACCAAGGCGACGAUCCGUAGCUGGUUUGAGAGGACGACCAGCCACACUGGGACUGAGACACGGCCCAGACUCCUACGGGAGGCAGCAGUGGGGAAUUUUGGACAAAGGGGGCAACCCUGAUCCAGCCAUCCCGCGUGUGCGAUGAAGGCCUUCGGGUUGUAAAGCACUUUUGGCAGGAAAGAAACGGCGCGGGCUAAUACCCCGUGGAACUGACGGUACCUGCAGAAUAAGCGCCGGCUAACUACGUG
rnacentral:rRNA from 1 species